GUGGANUGAUUUGUCUGGUUGAUUCCGAUAACGAGUGAGAUCUCUGCCUCCCAAUAGCCUGGGGCUCGCAUUCGGUAGGGCCUGGUUCUCGGAGGGAACCCCACAUCCAAAGCGGGUCUUUCCCCGUGCGUGUCUAUCCGCGUCCAAACCCCUUCACGGGGGCGAGGGCGUGCGGUGGGGGCGUGCGGUGUGUGGGGCCCGUGUGGGGGAAAGCCCGAGACCACCCGAGAGCCUUUCUCAGUUCAGCUUCUCUGAGGUGCUGCGUACACUGCCAAGUGCGCGCAUGCUAGAGCCAACAGCAGGUCUGUGAUGCUCCCAGAUGUCCUGGGCCGCACGCGCACUACAUUGACACAGUGAAUGAGUCACAAGCCCCACUCUGUGGGCCCUGGCCGGAAGUGGUCGGGAAAUCUUGCGAGUCUGUGGCCGUACUGGGGAUAGAUGAUUGCAACUGUCUGCCUUGAACGCGGAAUACCUAGUAUGCGCAGGUCAUCAGCCUGCACAGAUUGUGUCCCUGCCAUUUGUACACACCGCCCGUCGUUGCUACCGAUGGUAGCUGGAUAGAACCAUCAGGAGGUCAGGCCAUCCCGGACGCGUGACGGUCAGGCGGCUUGCCGUCGUCGGGCCCCGCGCGCUCCAGGGCCAAGCUGAAAUUGGGUAAUGUCCUGCUGCUAGAGGAAGCAAAAGUCGU
rnacentral:rRNA from 1 species